GAUGAAGAACGUAGCGAAAUGCGAUACGUAAUGUGAAUUGCAGAAUUCAGUGAAUCAUCGAAUCUUUGAACGCAUAUUGCGCUCUCUGGUAUUCCGGAGAGCAUGCUUGUUUGAGUAUCAGUAAACACCUCAACUUCCAUAUCUUUUUUGAAAUGGGAGUUGGACUUGAGUGAUCCCAACGCUUUUCCUCACCGAAAAGUGGCGGGUUACUUGAAAUGCAGGUGCAGCUGGACUUUUCUCUGAGCUAUAUGCAUAUCUAUUUAGUCUGCCUAAAAAACAGAUUAUUACCUUUGCUGCAGCUAACAUAAAGGAGAUUAGUUCUUGUGCUGACUGAUGCAGGAUUCACAAAGACAGGCUUCGGCCGACUUUGUAAACUCGAUCUCAAAUCAAGUAAGACUACCCGCUGAACUUAAGCAUAUCAAUAAGCGGAGGA
rnacentral:misc_RNA from 1 species